rnacentral:rRNA from 1 species
CCUACGGGAGGCAGCAGUGGGGAAUCUUGCACAAUGGGGGAAACCCUGAUGCAGCGACGCCGCGUGAGCGAUGAAGCCCUUCGGGGUGUAAAGCUCUUUCGUCAGGGAAGCGGUACCUGGAGAAGCAGCUGCGGCUAACUACGUGCCAGCAGCCGCGGUAAUACGUAGGCAGCAAGCGUUGUUCGGAGUUACUGGGCGUAAAGGGUGUGUAGGCGGUUCUUUAAGUUUGGUGUGAAAUCUCCCGGCUCAACCGGGAGGGUGCGCCGAAUACUGAGGGACUAGAGUGUGGGAGAGGAAAGUGGAAUUCCUGGUGUAGCGGUGAAAUGCGUAGAUAUCAGGAGGAACACCGGUGGUGUAGACGGCUUUCUGGACAUACUGACGCUGAGACACGAAAGCGUGGGUAGCAAACAGGAUUAGAUACCCUUGUAGUC